rnacentral:lncRNA from 1 species
CCUGGGCUUGGCCACAGACGCACCAUCCCAGUGCGAGGCCAGAGGUCAGCUGUUUUUGGCUUAUACUUUUUGGGGUCCAAGAGGGAAAGUGUCCGGGCCUCUCUCCCAGCUCCAGUGGCUGCUGGUGACGCUCAGUGAUGCUAGCCCAUGACUGUGUCCCUCCCGUCCCUGUCGCUGUCAUCACGGGGCCCAUGUCUCCGUGUCUCUCUUGAACUCUGUUGUGAUAGAACAUUGGUGAGGUGACACUGACUGUCCUCAGGAUUCCCAGCUGUCCUCAGCCGCCCGCUCGCCCUCCAGGAGCCUCCCGUCAUCCGGGCUGGUGUCCGUCCUGCCACACCUGCCUCCUGUCCCGCGCCCGGCACCCCACUUGCUCUCUGUGGCUGUGAUUUUGAUGGCCUGGGUGAAUCUCAGAUCCUGAGAAGAAAUCGUAUGUACAGAGACGGACGGACAGACACUGGGAACAACUGUGUGGUCAAGGGAGCGGGUCAGCGUCGUCCGUGAGCACAGCCUGCCUGCUCAGGAUGGAGUGGCCUGGGUGGGGGGCCAUUUGCUGGGGCUGAGCUGCGUGUGGCCUGGGGCUCCAGAGUGCGGCUGGCCUCACGCCGACCUACACCUGAAGCUCUUGGGCGCUGA